CAUUGCCCGACCUACCUAAAGCUGGAGAGGGGGACUGAAGAGAGCAUACAGCACUCACCUGGAAAUCGACCCACAAGGGAGCUGUAUCCCAGACAAGAUCAUCACAAGUGGCAGCCACACACCCAGCGCGGGAAUCUGCAGCCUCAUGAUGGCUACCGCGAUUACAAGUGGGUCAGUACCUGUUACCAGAAUGAACUCAUACCACCCAAGGACAAUAACCUGCCGCAGAUAGGCAUCGGCUAAACUGCCUCUCACAGGUCCCAUGUGGUCAAGCUUCCGCUCAGGGCUUGGGGAUCACAGACUAUUGCUCCACUAUAAGCAAUAAUUUUACCAGCCUAGCUCCCCAGUGGCUAUAUUAUAUUAUUUUGUUUUAUUCCCUCCUGCAUUCUGUCUAGCAGUAUAACACAUUAAUGUCUUGCAUAUUAUUUUACUCAGCAUCCUGGGAAAUAACACCCAUGGCGUACAAAAUUAAUGUUUUCAUGUUAUAUGUUCCAUCAUAGCAUCACCCUGUUUCUACCUACAAAAAGUUACGCCUGUUACUCUUGUAAUAUCAUUUUUUAUUUCAUAAAAAUGUGCAGACUUAUCAAAUGCCAUACGAAUGUCUAUGUUUUGAAAAGCUUGCACUAGCUGUUGUGGCAUGGCAAGACUGUUUGUAAAAUCUAUGCACAGCCAAAAUAAAGAAUAAAA